rnacentral:rRNA from 1 species
AUUGAACGCUGGCGGCAUGCCUUACACAUGCAAGUCGAACGGCAGCACGGGAGCAAUCCUGGUGGCGAGUGGCGAACGGGUGAGUAAUAUAUCGGAACGUGCCCAGACGUGGGGGAUAACGUAGCGAAAGCUACGCUAAUACCGCAUGAGAUCUGAGGAUGAAAGCGGGGGGCUCGCAAGACCUCGCGCGUUUGGAGCGGCCGAUAUCAGAUUAGGUAGUUGGUGGGGUAAAGGCUUACCAAGCCUGCGAUCUGUAGCUGGUCUGAGAGGACGACCAGCCACACUGGAACUGAGACACGGUCCAGACUCCUACGGGAGGCAGCAGUGGGGAAUUUUGGACAAUGGGCGCAAGCCUGAUCCAGCAAUGCCGCGUGCAGGAUGAAGGCCUCGGUUGUAACUGCUUUGUUACGUAACGAAAGGACGUUCUCUAAUACGGAGAGACUGAUGACGGUACCGGUAACGAAUAAGACACCGGCGUAACUACGUAGUCCG